CUGACCCGAGGGGGGCCCCCACGCCCGCUCUGGCCUCUCAGGUCAGGCCCUCCCCUCCCCUCCCCUCCCCUCCCCCGCCCCUGUGUCUCCGCGAGCCGGCUGUGUGCCUGCGAGAGCGUGCACACCCGCGGGACCUUCCCUUUUGUUCCACCCUGACCUCUACCUUCUCUACCUUGUGCUGACCCCGCUGGGGUGCAGGGGUUCCCUUCGGAGGAGGCCGGGGCUCAAGGUCAGCCCUGAAAUGUCCAUUACUCACAAAGAAAAGGAAAAUGCUCAUUUGAAAGAAAUUCUUCUCUUUGUCAAUGCUGAGGCAUUCUCUCAGCCCCAGCCCCACAGUGCUCCAGUGUGUGAAGGGCAACAGCUGACGGGGAAGUUCAGCACAUCUGUGCUGACCAGGGCUGGAGGCGAUGCCAGUCCGUGCAGCUGGGAACGCCUCCUCUGCUAUGGCUGGAGCCACUGCUGAAGGGACUCCACCUGGCACCUAUGCCACCAAUGGCCCCUGAACGGGUAUCUAGGCCCACCCUUAAUAAAGAUGAGCUGCUCAUUCCCA
rnacentral:lncRNA from 1 species